rnacentral:rRNA from 1 species
AGGAUGAACGCUGGCGGCGUGCCUAAUACAUGCAAGUCGAACGGUGUACCGCAAGGUACAUAGUGGCGAACGGGUGAGUAACGCGUUGGUGACCUGCCCCGAAGAUUGGGAUACCAGUUCGAAAGGACUGCUAAUACCGGAUACCGUUAUUGAGAUUAGAGGCUUGAUAACGAAAGGUUUCGAUCGCUUCGGGAGGGGCCUGCGUCCCAUCAGCUAGUUGGUAAGGUAACGGCUUACCAAGGCGAUGACGGGUAGGGGACCUGAGAGGGUGGCCCCCCACAAUGGAACUGAAACACGGUCCAUACACCUACGGGUGGCAGCAGUAGGGAAUAUUGCAAAAUGGGCGAAAGCCUGAUGCAGCAACGCCGCGUGGACGAUGAAGGCCUUCGGGUCGUAAAGUCCUUUUUGAGGGGAUGAGGAAGGACAGUACCCUCAGAAUAAGCCUCGGCUAACUACGUGCCAGCAGCCGCGGUAAAACGUAGGAGGCGAGCGUUAUCCGGAUUUACUGGGCGUAAAGCGCGUGCAGGCGGACUGGAAAGUUGGAUGUGAAAGCUCCUGGCUUAACUGGGAGAGGUCGUUCAAAACUACCAGACUAGAGGGCGAUAGAGGGAAGCGGAAUUCCGGGUGUAGUGGUGAAAUGCGUAGAUAUCCGGAGGAACACCAGUGGCGAAAGCGGCUUCCUGGGUCGUCUCUGACGCUCAGACGCGAAAGCUAGGGUAGCAAACGGGAUUAGAGACCCCGGUAGUCCUAGCUGUAAACGAUGUAGACUUGGCGUAGGAGGGUUUAAAUCCUUCUGUGCCGUAGCAAACGCGAUAAGUCUACCGCCUGGGGACUACGGCCGNCAGGGUAA